AAAGUACACAAUUGAACAUCCUAUUUGCAACCCUCUUGUAGAUCGAGAUCUUGAUCUUGGUCCUUUUGAUCUGAAAUGGUUAAUAAAAGAGCGAGCUACACUAGCCCAGUAAGAAUGCCACACUACUCACCGAUACAGAAAUGAAUGUUGGUAAAAAUCAUAAAAAUAACUAGUGGAGCUCUUAAUUUAAAUAAAUUCAAUUAUUAUAAGUAAAAUCAUUUAU
rnacentral:lncRNA from 1 species